rnacentral:rRNA from 1 species
UACGUAGGGGGCUAGCGUUGUCCGGAAUCAUUGGGCGUAAAGAGCGUGUAGGCGGCCCGGUAAGUCCGCUGUGAAAGUCGGGGGCUCAACCCUCGAAAGCCGGUGGAUACUGUCGGGCUAGAGUGCGGAAGAGGCGAGUGGAAUUCCUGGUGUAGCGGUGAAAUGCGCAGAUAUCAGGAGGAACACCGAUUGCGAAGGCAGCAUCGCUGGGACGUAACUGACGCUGAGACGCGAAAGCGUGGGGAGCAAACAGG